GAAUGACUCUCGGCAACGGAUAUCUCGGCUCUUGCAUCGAUGAAGAACGUAGCGAAAUGCGAUACUUGGUGUGAAUUGCAGAAUCCCGUGAACCAUCGAGUCUUUGAACGCAAGUUGCGCCCGAAGCCAUUAGGUCGAGGGCACGCCUGCCUGGGUGUCACAC
rnacentral:rRNA from 1 species